rnacentral:tRNA from 1 species
GCGGAUGUGGCGAAAUUGGCAGACGCGCAGGUCUCAGAAGCCUGUGGUAGCGAUACCGUGGUGGUUCAAGUCCACUCAUCCGCA